AUCCUUUGGUUCACAAGUGUGAUGCUUGCAUGUUCCUGGCAUAUGCAUGAGAUGUGCCUCCCUCAAGCCUGGUUACGACAUCACACAUUGCUGACCUGAUG